AGUUCGGAUUGUAGGCUGAAACUCGCCUACAUGAAGCUGGAGUUGCUAGUAAUCGCGAAUCAGCAUGUCGCGGUGAAUACGUUCCCGGGCCUUGUACACACCGCCCGUCACACCAUGAGAGUCGGGAACACCCGAAGUCCGUAGUCUAACCGCAAGGGGGGCGCGGCCGAAGGUGGGUCCGGUAAUUGGGGUGAAGUCGUAACAAGGUAGC
rnacentral:rRNA from 1 species